GUUUCAGCAGCCGCGGUAAUACGAAUGGGGCAAGCGUUGUUCGGAAUCACUGGGCUUAAAGCGUGCGUAGGCGGAUUUGCAAGUCAGAAGUGAAAUCCCAGGGCUUAACCCUGGAAUUGCUUUUGAAACUGCAAGUCUAGAAUCUUGAAGAGGUUAGCAGAAUUCCGAGUGUAGAGGUGAAAUUCGCAGAUAUUCGGAGGAAUACCAAUGGCGUAGGCAGCUAACUGGGCAAGUAUUGACGCUGAGGCACGAAAGCGUGGGGAGCAAACAGGAUUAGAUACCCUCGUAGUCC
rnacentral:rRNA from 1 species